rnacentral:rRNA from 1 species
GAUGAACGCUGGCGGCGUGCCUAAUACAUGCAAGUCGAGCGAACGGACGAGAAGCUUGCUUCUCUGAUGUUAGCGGCGGACGGGUGAGUAACACGUGGAUAACCUACCUAUAAGACUGGGAUAACUUCGGGAAACCGGAGCUAAUACCGGAUGAUAUUUUGAACCGCAUGGUUCAAAAGUGAAAGACGGUCUUGCUGUCACUUAUAGAUGGAUCCGCGCUGCAUUAGCUAGUUGGUAAGGUAACGGCUUACCAAGGCAACGAUGCAUAGCCGACCUGAGAGGGUGAUCGGCCACACUGGAACUGAGACACGGUCCAGACUCCUCCGGGAGGCAGCAGUAGGGAAUCUUCCGCAAUGGGCGAAAGCCUGACGGAGCAACGCCGCGUGAGUGAUGAAGGUCUUCGGAUCGUAAAACUCUGUUAUUAGGGAAGAACAUAUGUGUAAGUAACUGUGCACAUCUUGACGGUACCUAAUCAGAAAGCCACGGCUAACUACGUG